rnacentral:rRNA from 1 species
UACGAAGGGGGCUAGCGUUGCUCGGAAUCACUGGGCGUAAAGGGUGCGUAGGCGGGUCUUUAAGUCAGGGGUGAAAUCCCGGGGCUCAACCCCGGAACUGCCUUUGAUACUGAGAGUCUCGAGUCCAGAAGAGGUGAGUGGAAUUCCGAGUGUAGAGGUGAAAUUCGUAGAUAUUCGGAGGAACACCAGUGGCGAAGGCGGCUCACUGGUCCGGUACUGACGCUGAGGUGCGAAAGCGUGGGGAGCAAACAGG